rnacentral:misc_RNA from 1 species
GCUGUUAGCAAGAAACGCCUGUAUAGGGGGUGGAAAACUAGGUAGCGAUGAGGUCACUGAAGGUGGUGGAGCUGGACCUGAAGCUGGUUGAGUAGGCUGAAUUAUCAAGUCACCAUAAGCGGCAGCUGCCUGACCAGAUAAGCUUCCACGCAUUCGUCCUGUUGGGCGCCAAUUCUGCUCUGAUGAUAAAUUCACAACACCAUCAGUUCCAGUAUUCACUUGUGCUGCUGCUCCUACAUUUCCUCUCUGCACCAUUGUUGGUGCCCUAGUCCCAUCAGUAUUCGAGUAUGAGAUCCCUCUGGAGGUUGGAAUUUGAACUGGCACUGAUGGUGGCUGUCUAGCCAUCUGGACUGCUAGUUGGGCAGCAGUUGUAAACCUAGUAUGUUGGCUAUUUGGAAAACCUGCAGUAUUGCCAGCCCCAACUUGUGCAACCCCUUGCUGGGUCUGACUCGGUGGAAGAGCUGGAGAUGAUCGACCUACACUUGGAGACGGACUCCUGGAUUGGGGCAUCCUAAGAGCUUGCUGCUGAUGUAAAUUCUGAGAUUCAUUCCGAAACAAAGAAGAUGCUCCAAUAGCACCUGGGCGUUGACUAGAAGUUGAAACACCAGCAGCCUGUUGGACUGAUUGUCCCAUAUUAAAUGAUAGAUCUGGAUGAUUCGGGUUCUGUGCUGUUGACUGAUGCUGCAAUGAGGGUGGAGUCCUAUCCAACACUUGAUGUGGAUUUGUACGGGAUCUCAGAUGUUGCUGCUGCCUGUCCAUCAUAUGAUUGGAACCCAUAUUGAAACCAUUUGAAGUUGGUGUUAUUGGCAGGGCAGCCUGAGAAGCAAUAGAGGACCCAUUAGGAAUUGCACUAUUCAAAUUAGUUCUUGGUCUUUGUUGUCGAAUUGAUGUUUGAGAUUGAACUGGGAGGGCCUGAACUGCUAUAGGAUUUCUGUUCACAUGUCUGGGUAUCUGCGUCAACCUCCCAUACUCAUUGUUUACAGCUGCAUUCACAAGUUGUGACUGUUGCAAAUUCCCAGAAGCAGAAAUUUGAUUUUGCAAUAAAGAAGUGAAGUUAUUAUUCCCUUGCACCAUAGCAUCACGGUUAAGAACAGGAGAAAUGGCAUCAGUUAUCCCAGAGGUGCCAUGAAUCAUUUGCAUCCCAGUAUUGGAAGUCCCAGAUCCAUGAUUUAAGUAAACAUCAGACCAAAAGUCAUCCUCUAGUCGACUAGCAACAUUUUGGUCAACCGCAUUUGGCAUGGUUAAGUUAGUGGCAACAGAUUGACUUAGAAGAGUAGCCUGAGAAGGUUUCUCAUCAUCAACAUCACUUGUGCUUACGACAUCCAUCCUAUUGUCAUCCUCUGUAAGAUCCAUAACAAUGGAAAGGUCAACUAAGGAAGUAGCAGGUCCUUGCUGUCCAGGUGUUUCUUUCUGGCAAUUAACAGUCUCUUCGCAUGUCUUAUCUGCAUUGUCAUCACUUUCCAUGAUAGCCUGCCAUGACCCAUCAGCAGAGAUGAUCACGUCAACAACAUUCUCUGCCACUUCUUUCAGAACCUUAACCAUGUUCUGAUCAACACGAAUAUCUGUGUAGCAGACAUGCUGAUUACAAUGUGGGCAACGCCAAGAUGGCCUUCUUGAAUUUAUAUCAACAAAGUUACUAAAAUCACAACACUGAAGAUGUUUGCAUGUAUGUCCUUUGACAGGAGUUCUGAUUCGCGUAUAGCUUAUGGGGCAAUUAAGUGAUACACGUGAUGGCCCCUCAAUUAUAUCAGAAUCUGGAUCGGGAGCAGCAACAUCGGACUGAACAUAAUCUAGUAGCACAGGAAUCUCCGGCAGUGGUGUCAUACUCAUAAACGCAACAACUAUGAUAUAACGACCAUUGAACUGGCCAACAGCUUGAAGAAGAUUUGUUCCAUAUUUAAGCAUUGCUGUCACAUUUGUUGGAAGCUGUGGUCCAGUGUCCAUUGAAACGUUAGUUCUUCUCUCUACUCCCUUUCCAUUUAACAGAAAAUUCACUUGUUGUGGACUAAUAAUACAAGCAGGUGUCUCUGUAUUAUCUCUCUGUACGACAAACAACCGUAUUUUUUCCUGUGGAGAGUGUUUUGUAUUCUUUGAAAUGUGAAAAUCAAUUACAUAUGCUCCAUAUCCAGGCUUAACUUCAAAAGAAGUAAGUAUCUGCCCCAUUUUCAUCAAUGGAUAGAAUCUGGACAUAACUGUCGAGAUAAUGGAAAGAGAAUCACUCAGUACAGUAUUAACAUCUCCUGGACUACAAAAACUGUUUCC